AUGUCGAGGGAAGUAGGGAACGUCUUAGCUUCAGACUUUCAGCAGCUGUGGUGGAGUGGUGCCUAACUUCAUCUGAAAUGACAUUAUCGCCCAUAUAUUUCGCACAAAAUAAUGGUGAAACUGGACGAAGUGUUACUGUUCAUUUGGGACUUGCCCAGGUUUUAGGUGUUAUUAAAUUGUCAGCAUUUCUUUAAUGAGACCAGUACCUAUUGAUUUACUUUAACGGAAGCAUUAGUAUUCAACAUACAUACACUGGGACAGUUUUAGGGAUAAAAUUAUAUUGAAACUCAAGUCUAUGUGAAUUGCUAUUUUGAAGAAUUUUUGUAAAAAAAA